AUUCCUGGAAAUGGUCCACCCAUGUUUCAUAAAACUGGACUUAGGAUUUACAGACGGGUAGGGUCAUUAUAUUGCAUUCAGGUAUUAAAUAAGUUUUAAAUAGAAAUAGGUAAACCUCCCCAUUUCUCUAAAAUAUUUUUUGUAUCAUCUAGUGUUAAAAUUACCCUACAUCGGAACUAAGGGGCCUAUCUCAGCAAAUCCAAA